ensembl:sense_intronic Gm44167 predicted gene, 44167
CCACCCCCACCCCGCCAUCCUUGUUCCUCUCUCUCUAACUCAUCCUCAGGCCCAUCUUCCAGGUCCCUAAUGAGGGCUGGCUGCCAUAGUACAAUACACGGCCAGGUGGGCACCAGUUUAAUAACAGCCUCAAAUAGGUCCCUUGCUUCUGACAAACAGGCCAUCUGCAGCAAAGCGCUCCCUUCCUCCAGCCUGCGCAUUGGUGAUUAUUUGUCUGGCCGAGUAAUCGCUAUGGCAAUAAAAGAGAGAAUCGCUGGGUUUAAUGGCUACACGCAGCAGCUAGGACAUCUGGUAAUGUGAAGUAAAACAAGCCCUUCUAGCAUGCCAGAGCUGCUUCUGGGACCCCAGUCCUCUGGCACCUCUUAACCCAGUUAGUGAAAUUAUUACAAGAAACAAAAAUAAUUGUUGCCCAUUAUCCUUUUCCCUUUAAAAAAAAAAUAAAAACAAAAUUUUCUUCAUGCUGUUUUUAAUCCAAAAGAAAGCAUCUUACAAUAGGAUCAAAAGGGUCUUUAUCCUGAAACCCCAAGUGGGUUUGAGGCCCUCUGAUGAGAGUUAUAGAUAGCAAUUAGUGAGCCGGGGUCUGUCUGAGUCACCCACCAAGCAUCCACAAUGACAGUAGCAAGCUGAUCUCAAGGCUCCAGGGCUAUUUUAGAGGUGUUCUGUGAAGACAAGAUGCCUCUGGACUUCCAUUGGCCUCAGCUUUCUCAUCUAUAAAAGUAAAACGUUGACAGUUCCUCUCACCUGACCUUGCAGGGCCUGACAAAACAUGACACUUGCAGAAAUGUCUUCAGUCAGCUGAAGGCUGGACUCUGGACGUGGCUGUUAUGAAUGUAAAACCCCAGGUGCUCCCAGAGUUUAGAUACAACACCCCACUGUGCCGAGGUGGGAACGGACUAGGAAAGGCAAAGCCACACAGAUGGUUGGUGUUGAGACAAGAUUCUCAGGAACCCAUCACAAUGCCACCACGAUCCCCCUGCCCUGGGCUCAGAGGAGUCUUGGCAGCAUUAAAACAUUCACACUCCAAAGCAAACUGCCUCCCUCUCAGAGCCUCAUUUUCUCCUCUGUAUAUGGGAGCCUGACAGGAGCAUCCUUCUCAGAAGAGACAGUGAUAAACACUACAGCCAUAUUUCUGGACCAAGUCAGUCAUGUGACCCCCUUUAGGGGUCGCAUAUCAGAUACUUGUAUUAUGAUUCCUAACAGUAGCGAAAGUACAGCGGUGAAGUAGUGAGGAGACAAAGGGUUACAGUAUUAUAAAGGUUGAGAACCACUGUGUUGCAUAAAGGCAUGGAGACCAUGUGAACCUAGAGCCUAGCGACCUUGGCAGUAGGUGUCAUGGGUAGACAGCCUUCUCCCACUCCUCCUGAGGGACCAAAGCUAUAGGAAAUUUCAGUGGAUGACACAGGCCUAGUGGACAGGCAGGCACAGCUGAAAGCAGGUGUCUCAGGCAAGAAGCUGCAGCCUCUAUGCAGUCCCACAGCGGCCCAGGCGGGGGCAGGAGUUCCAGGCAGCACUGAUGGCAGGUAGACAGCCCCACACCCAGCCCUUCUCCCAACAACCGGACAGCAUCAGGCCCUGGCAUGACCAGGAGCACCCAGUCUAGCCAGUGGCUCUUGCUAGCCUGUCUGUGAAGCUGGAGCUACUGCUUAAGACCUCUUUUCCAGGGAUCAGUGACUUCCUCCUAGAACCAGGACAUUCCCACAGACCUUCAGUGACCAUUUCUGGAAACCUCUUGCUCACCCUAUGUCCCAUACACUCUACAGCAGGAUUUUUAGGCAGGAGGUGUCCUUGGUGUUUUAGCAUCAUAUCCUUCAGAAAAAUAUAGUCUACCCCACCCAGUCCAAAACAAAGGACAAAGGGUCAUGUUGACCUCCAUUCCUCUCC